UACGGAGGGUGCAAGCGUUAUCCGGAUUCACUGGGUUUAAAGGGAGCGUAGGCGGGCUUGUAAGUCAGUGGUGAAAUCUCCGGGCUUAACUCGGAAACUGCCAUUGAUACUAUAAGUCUUGAAUUAUCUGGAGGUAAGCGGAAUAUGUCAUGUAGCGGUGAAAUGCUUAGAUAUGACAUAGAACACCCAUUGCGAAAGGCAGCUUACUACGGGUAUAUUGACGCUGAGGCUCGAAAGCGUGGGGAUCAAACAGG
rnacentral:rRNA from 1 species